GCGGAGGGCUGGAUGACCGCGGCGGUGCGCCGUCGAGGAAAGUCCGGACUCCAUGAGGCGACGGUGCCGGGUAACGCCCGGCGGGGGCAACCCCAGGGAAAGCGCCACAGAGAACAGACCGCCCAUGUCCGCAUGGGCAAGGGUGAAACGGUGGGGUAAGAGCCCACCGGGGGCCUGGCAACAGGCCCCGCAUGGCAAGCCCCACCGGGAGCAAUGCCGAAUAGGGACCGCGCGCGGGGGCAACCCCGCAGGGCCGCCUUGCCCCAGCAGGUCCGGGUAGGCAGCUUGAUCCGGCGGGCAACCGCCGGGCCAGAGGAAUGGUCAUCCAGCCGCCAAUGGCGGUGGACAGAAUCCGGCUUACAGGCCCUCCGCGCAA
rnacentral:RNase_P_RNA from 2 species